GGGCGUUUAGCGCAGUGGUAGCGCGUAUGCUUUGCAAAAAAUCACGCUCCGGUGCGAUAAUCGUGUGUAUAAGGUCCAGGGUUCAAUCCCCUGAACGUCCA
rnacentral:tRNA from 1 species